GUGCAGCUCUUGAUACAGAACAAAAUACUUACCAAUAUAUGACAAUGAUGACUAAUUUUGCUCACACAGAGGAAUAUGAAAAUUACACGACUUGAUACUCAGUUAACAAACUAACAGAGACUGAGAAGGAGGGGGGAUGUAAUCACAGGCAAUGUCCAACAAAUCACAUGAUGUCUCUCGCAAGCCUUGGCGGUUUCUCUCUCGAGUGCACAAUGUCGCUGUUCUGAAUCGUUAGCAGGUGGUGAUCAGGUUCAUCCUCUUCGCUCUCUUCAACUGAACCAAACGACUCCGACCCGUCGUCAUCCGAGUAUACCGGAUGAUCUGGUAAAUGUCGGACUGCUGCUAUCUGAAUACUUUGUGGAAGGAGACAAUU
rnacentral:misc_RNA from 1 species